ensembl:lncRNA
AGGAGUUUAAAUAAUUAAUUAAUCUAAAGCAAGAUUAAUUAUAUGUUUUAGAGGUAAAUUGUUCAAUUCAUUAAGAAUAGAGUUGACUAAAGAGAAUCUGUUUGAAGUUAGUGACAGUUGAAGGGAAUAAUGUUUAAUUUGCAGGUGAUAAAAAUCUAUUUAUAGGAUUUCAUAAGCCUACUCCUGAAAAAUGAUAUGCCAUCUAAAUACAGCCUAUACAUUCUUAAUUGUUGCCGAUAGCCUUAGAGAAUGUUAACCGUGGCCAACUAAUUUACCAAUUCAUGCCUUCAUCUAGUCAGCCUCCCCUCAUCGCCACUACCCACCCGCACGCCGACAACCACAGGCGCGCGCGCGCACACGCAAACACACGCACACUCAGACACGCUCACAAACACACGCUCAGUUGAACAGCCACGCUCGAGCACCAACUACCAUGGGACACUGCAGGGAAGGGAACCACUAGCAGGUUGGCUGAGGAAGCCAUGCGGCCAGCUCCGUGGCACUUUUGGACUGUCGUGUGAAUCAAGCGAGUCGUUGUGGUGCGGUCCGGUGACCGCUCAGUCGGCCUUCAUAGCGGGUCCGAACGAAUCCUUCCGCCUGCAGGGAUAGUGUAGGCCAGUGCGCCCAUGUAGCAGUUCUACCAGCGUGGCAGUAGACACCGAUGAAAGACCCCGUACAGCCAGCAGUACUGCAUGUGGUUGUAUCAUGACGUGACACUGUAUCGACCCGCACUAGAGCUGUUGUAGUCAGGACUGGGGUCCAGUGGACAGAGAACAGGUGGUGGAGGCCUGGCAUAGAGGGAAAGUUGCCACUCCCUCUGCAGGAUGAACACAGACAGGCCAAAACGCAAAAUCAUUCGGAAGAGAUAUGACGUCAGCGACGGGAUGCCGUGGUGCGAGGAGCGCAUGGUCCAGAAGGUUCUCUUCCUGUCCCUGAAGGAGUUCAGGGACGCCAGGCGCCCAAGCACCCAGGGGCCACACCGACCGAGGCCCGGGGCCGCGGCACAGGAUCAGCAGAGGACACCGCGGCCGAAGCCAGGAUCGCACGCACGCACAAAAAACAAGGCACCUGUCUCCCAAGAUGGGCCAAAACCAAAGCAGGGUCGCUGGCAAACACACGCGCUGGAAAACCCCGAGGAGGAGCUAGCACUGCCACAGAUUGCCCCGGACACCUGUUCGCCCCAAGGCAAACGCCACGGCCUUCAAACCGCACAGAUGCUCGUCGAGGUCCUGCCAGCAGCCAAGCUCGCACGUCGAAGACCAGCGACAGGCGCGCCACAGAACAGCCACUCGCUAGCGGGCGUUGCCGUCGCUCAGCCCAGAACACUGCGCUCACACAGAGCACAGAGCCUUCUCGCGUUCUUGAACACGUCCAAGCCACAGCGCGCGGCUCCGCCGACCCCGCAGGACACCCGCCCGAAAUGCGAGGAAGGGCUGAACGGCACUCGUGUCGCGCAAAGCACGUCCACGCAGACGGUCCCCACCAGGAUUCUGAGGUCCCACACACCUACCGCCCGCCUCAAUGGUGCUCCCAGACAGGUUCCAGCUCUGCUAUCCACCAAUGAGAGACAGGGACUGACCCUGCAGGCCUAUCAUCAGCAUCGUCACGGCAACAUGGGUCAUGGUAGAGAUGACCCGGCCAACCAGAGGCCGAAGCUUCAGGCUCAGAGAAAGUUUGCACAUUCUCCUCCCAGUUCUCCAGGACCUUUAGUGUCGCCUUCCUCCACACAUAACAACAGCUCUUCCACCUCCAGCUGCCUGACGAGACGCCGUCCCAAAACAGAAGACUUUCUUUCUUUUCUUUGUUUGAGAGGUUCUGUGGCAUUGCCGAACAGCAUGGCCGUCUUAGGUAGUUGCCGGAAAAAGGAAUCCGCUGUCACUUCAUGUCUUCCCAGCAGUCUAGGGCGGCCGACGGAGAAAGGCAGGACUACAGCCUUCAGGAGAAAAGCCCGCCACGGCAUGGCCCCCAGGCCGCUGAGGAGGCUGGGGGUGGCGGCCCUCCUCCUCCGGGGGGCCGGAGACACGGAGGCCGCCGGCAAGCGGAGAUACGGACUGUGUUCCAACGCCGCCGCCGCCGCCGCCUCCUUCGCUCCGAGGAAACUGAGCCUAAGGGAAAGGAAGAUGAGGGAGGGGAAAGGAGAAGGGAAGCCGACGGGGAACGGUGGAAGAGAGAAGAGGGCAGGGGGGAGAGUCGAGGGGAGGAGGAAGAGAGAGCCGGUUCGUGUCCUGCGACCUCGCCAGCUCUCUCUGCAGGUUGCCAUGGUGACUGGGCUCUCUGAUCAACACACUUCCUAUGUACUACAAGCGCCGCCAAUCAAGUCUAAAUCGACCAAUAGCAGCAGACGUUCCGGACCCUAUUCUAGGGAGAGCAAAGCUAGUUUGCCCAGAAGGCCCCAUGGAGAACUCUGCCAGGACCCCAGUCAAAACACCAGGCCCGAACAGAAUGCUUUAUGCAAAUCCAGCAGCUAA